rnacentral:lncRNA from 1 species
UUCUUUGCUGGCAGCGGUUAGGGCAAUGUACUCUGCCUCUGUCGAGGACAGAGCCACCAGCGGCUGGCGCUUACUGCUCCAGGACACAGCAGCCCCAUGGAGCAAGAACGUAUACCCGGAGGUAGAGAGCCUUGAGUCCUGGUCGCCCGCCCAGUCCGCAUCCGAGUACCCAUGAAAGUUCCUGUGACACAAGUGAAGCUGCAAAUGCAAGGUACCUUGAACGUAGCGGAAAAUCCGCUUCACAGCUUGCCAAUGUGCAGGUCGGGGGUUCUCGAGGAACUGGGAGACCAUCCCAACAGCAUAGGCGAGAUCUGGUCGGGUUCCCAGCAUCAAAUAAACAAGACUUCCCACAGCUUGACGAUAUGGCACCGUGGCCAUGUACUCUCUUCCUCCGUGACAGGGGCCAUGUCACGGCUAAGUUUGUGAUUGACCUCAAGAGGUGUGGCCACAGAAGAGCAGUCUAGCAUAUUGAAGCGUUCCAAGAUCUCCCUUGCAUAAUGAGCUUGUGUCAAACUCAAGGUGCGUGCUCCUAGAUUGCGUAUAAUUUGGAUGCCAAGGAAAUGGCGAAGCUCACCCAGGUCAGACAUCUCAAAUUCUUCACUCAGCUUCUUUUUCAUCUCGUCCAGCAAUUGGCGGGAUUUUGCACCAAGAAUGCAGUCGUCAACGUACACAGAAAAUCGUCACCACACUUGUACAGGUACACGUUUCCUUCCACUGCAAGAGGAACACACCCCAGGCUCUUGAAGAACGCAUCAAUGCGUUCAAACCAAACCCUUCCCAUACAGGGCGCGAUUCAGCUUGCAAACAAGAUG